rnacentral:misc_RNA from 1 species
AAAAAAAAAAAAAAAAACAAAGUUGUGUUUUUGGGUUUUAAGGCAGUGAGAAAAUGAGCUCAGUUUUUCUGGACAGAUGAUGGUGUUGAGUUUGGUUCUUGAUUAUCUUCUUCUUUACUGUUGAUGUUGGUGGUAUCAGGCAGGCUCUCUCCUCCAAGAGAGCCUCCUCUCUCCUUCAUCAGAAUGAGAAUGAUGGUUGAAGGUUUGUUUUCUCUGUGUAUCUCACUCACUCUCUCACUCUUUAUCUGAAAAAACCAUGCUUUAGAAUGAGCUUGAAUAGGGGUCCUGAAGUCUUUUACCUGAGACGCCAAUCUCGAGAAUCUUAUUUCUUGCUUGUUAUUAGAGAAAGAGAAAGAAAAAGGAACAGAAAAUAAAACAGAGAAAACCAAACCAAACCAAACGCAAUAGGAAGACACAGGCUUUUGAGUGCUAGUAUAGAUAGCAUAGAAAAGCAAAGCAAACAGAAACAAACACAACAGCCAAUGAUAAAUGAAAAAAGCCAAAAUGGAUUGUAAUUCAAACUUUUUCUUUUCUUGGUUUUUCUUUCUCUAAAUCAAAAGCAAAAUUAUCUGGAAAAAAAAACAAAGGGAAAAAUGAAAAAGAAAAGAAGAGAAUAAAUGAGGGGCAGGCAGACAGGCAGAUGGGUUUUGAUAUCUUUUAACCUGACGAUUGCAGAGACGUUUUUUGACGAAUGGAGUUAUGCUCUUCUCUCUCUCUCUCUCUCUCUC